UGUGCGGUGCCCGCGGUGGAAAUGCAGAGCGAGUCAGUGUGUAAAUAACCGGCCCCUCCCUGCCUACUAGAUGCACCAAAGACUGACACCUCCCCUGUGCUGCGCUCAGACCCCCGGCGCUGGAAUAUGUCAGAGGGAGACGACGAAUGGUCCAUCCAGCUGGUUCCCUGGGACCGCAAGGGCCCCCUGUGAGAGUGGCGCUCAGUGGAAAGAGCUACAUGUAAAUUUGACUUUGGUGACUUUAGGACACACUGCAAGGACAUAACUGUAAACUCAACUGGAAUAAAAAGAAAAUAGAGACAAUGAAAGAGUCACGGCAAGGAUGAGCUACCUACAGAGGCCAAGAAAUAGACUGAGCAUCUGUCUCUGUCAUAAGAAGCAAGACCAUACAUCCCAUUUUGGCCAGCUCACUCCCUUUUUUUAAGCCUUGUCCUGGCCCUCCAGAUGUUUUUGAGGAACUGAGGGGCAAAAGUGGGUAUAUGUCUCAUUUGCUCUUGCCAAUUGAGCAGCUGGAAAAAGUAAACAGAAUAAAUGCUCACUUUUGUCAAAAAAGUAGGGUGUGAAAAAACAUGCGGGAGGGCAAGCUAUGAUGCCAGUCAUGUGCAAGGUGGAAGAAAGGGCUCAGAUGAGUGGCUCAGGUAGCCCUGUGGGGAUGUUGCUCAGGCUAGUCCCACAAGGUAUCCCAUUUUCCCUUAGGCAAAUAUGGACACCCUAGUCAUAAGGAUGAAAAGCCAUCUACAGUUCAUUGAACAUUGUUAAAUUGAGAUAAUUUUGGAAACUCAUCUGAAAGGCUGUCUGAGAAUUGGUAAAGUUGAAAACAGGAUGCAUUAGAGCAGUGGUGCCCAACCUUUUGGGGCUGCUGGGCACUCAGGGCCUACGGCGCAAGAAUGGCCCGGGGCAGCCCUUGUCACUAGGCGGGUGCACAUAAAUGCCCCAGCAGGCACCAUGGCGCCUGCAGGCACCGCAUUGGGGACCACUGUAUUAGAGACUGAUAAGGGAAACUAAAGGCCCAAUGAUCUCAUCACUAGGCAAUGCCACUUGUAAUCCU